AUUGAACGCUGGCGGCAGGCUUAACACACGCAAGUCGAGCGGAGAGAGGUAGCUUGCUACUGAUCUUAGCGGCGGACGGGUGAGUAAUGCUUAGGAAUCUGCCUAUUAGUGGGGGACAACAUUACGAAAGGAAUGCUAAUACCGCAUACGUCCUACGGGAGAAAGCAGGGGAUCUUCGGACCUUGCGCUAAUAGAUGAGCCUAAGUCGGAUUAGCUAGUUGGUGGGGUAAAGGCCUACCAAGGCGCCGAUCUGUAGCGGGUCUGAGAGGAUGGUCAGCCACACUGGGACUGAGACCCGGCCCAGACUCCUACGGGAGGCAGCGGUGGGAAUAUUGGACAAUGGGCGCAAGCCUGAUCCAGCCAUGCCGCGUGUGUGAAGAAGGCCUUAUGGUUGUAAAGCACUUUAAGCGAGGAGGAGGCUACUUUAGUUAAUACCUAGAGAUAGUGGACGUUACUCGCAGAAUAAGCACCGGCUAACUCUGUGCCAGCCGCCGCCGUAA
rnacentral:rRNA from 1 species